CUCAGCGGCCUUAUUGGGUUAUAGGCUAUAGAGGAUUCUUCGACUACCCCUUCGUUGUCUACACUGAAGCCUCUGACAGAACUGGGAGCUGUCCUGUCUCAGGAGAUCGAAGCUAAGGAGCUCCUGCUCCUAGAUGAGCCAAUCACUGCUCCUGGGUCGACCAACAGCACCUGAAGCCCCAUCCUGCCACUGAUCUAAAGUACCACUGCACUUUCACAUUCUCUCACACCUGCUGCACUGUGUCCCAUGUGUGACAUAAAUAAAAAAGCACAUCAUUUUCCACCUACCUCUCUGCUUCUUUACAUCUUACCUGGCAGAGCGAGUUGCUGCAGUGGUGGUAAACUGCUUAUAGGGGAAGCCCAGCUGUCAUACCAUGCCCUAGAUGAGAAGGUCCUCGUGGAUUAUGACUACGUAAGGUGGAAAAUCCUCUCUCCAUGUGGCCAGCUACUUCCAUCACUAGAAAUACUCACCGGACUUUAACCCGCGGCCACAGUUUGAGGAGCUGCUCCGGAUCCAUCGCCCCUGUCUACAGCCAGACCUCCUAAGCUUCAAAGAGGUACUUGAAUGAGUGGCCGGUUUAUCCGUGCCCUUAUGGUGAGUGCCACUAACCCCCGUGAGCUGCUUCACAUCGGGUUCACAUGAGGUGGCCCGGGAGGCCUGGAUUAAUCAACCCUUGCCCUUCCGCUCCAUUGUCGAGUUUAUGCCAGACAUGCAAGACCACAUCGACCACAUCGGCCCGGUUGUUGGAGGCAUCGAGGCAGCCUAGCAUGAUUAGCAAGCGUUCCUACAAGAGUUCCACACAGCCCUGAGAAUUCAACCUGGGAGAUCAGGUCCUGCUGCCCGUCCCCACUAACCUGCAAGUUCAAGUGGCAGGGCUUAUACAGUCCUUGAGAGGGUCGGCAAGGUAAACUACAACCUGCAAUAACCUGGUUAGCAAGCAGACACACAAUUAAAUCAUAUUAGCAUGAAAAAGUGGAUAGCUCACCUGCUGGCUGUGUCUGCCCUUGCCCCUCUCAGCACGGGUCCUCAAGAGGGGAACUGAGGGGAACUGAUCUCUCAACGAGCCAACACCAAGACCUCAAGGAACUAGUGGACCAGUUUUCCGAAAUCAUCUCUGCCAGGCCGCACUCAUAUCAUCCAGCAUGAGAUCAAUACCCCUCCUGUUACGGUGGUUCACCAGCGGCCUUAUUGAAGUCUCCCGUCAGGUUAUAGAGGUGGAAGUAGCCAAAUGGCUGGAGGAAGGGAUCAUUGACGAAUCUUUCGACCACCCCUCCGUUGCCCACACUGACUCGGAGCUGGGAGCCCUCUUGUCUCAGUUCAAAGACAAGGAGCACUUGGUCCUAGAUGAGGUAAGAUUUGAUUCAUAUUUAAUGUACUAAUGGUAAAAUCUCUUCCAUUCCUCUGUCACCAGAAUCACCAGAUUCCUUUCCAGAAUCCUCUCCAGCCAUGCUCUGCUCCUGGGUCAACCAACAGCACACCUGCACCUUUAAAUUAUCUCACACCUGCUGCGCUGUUUUUCACACGUUACCCUAAAUAAAAGAGCACAUAAUUUUCCGCCUAUUUCUUUGCCUUUUUUUUCUUUGUGUCCCACCUCACAGCGCAAACUGUUGAAACAUGAAAGUAUUGUAAACAAUCUACACACACUAUUUUUACACUAAGUAUAAACAUUGUUUUCAAAGAAUUAAGACUAUACACAUAUUAAAAUGUUUAUACAUACAAUAUUU